rnacentral:rRNA from 1 species
CGGCCCAGACUCCUACGGGAGGCAGCAGUGGGGAAUUUUGGACAAUGGGCGCAAGCCUGAUCCAGCCAUGCCGCGUGCGGGAAGAAGGCCUUCGGGUUGUAAACCGCUUUUGUCAGGGAAGAAAAGGUUCUGGCUAAUACCUGGGACUCAUGACGGUACCUGAAGAAUAAGCACCGGCUAACUACGUGCCAGCAGCCGCGGUAAUACGUAGGGUGCAAGCGUUAAUCGGAAUUACUGGGCGUAAAGCGUGCGCAGGCGGUUAUGCAAGACAGAGGUGAAAUCCCCGGGCUCAACCUGGGAACUGCCUUUGUGACUGCAUGGCUAGAGUACGGUAGAGGGGGAUGGAAUUCCGCGUGUAGCAGUGAAAUGCGUAGAUAUGCGGAGGAACACCGAUGGCGAAGGCAAUCCCCUGGACCUGUACUGACGCUCAUGCACGAAAGCGUGGGGAGCAAACAGGAUUAGAUACCCUGG